CCGAAGAAGAAUAGCGGUGUAACACAAAAAGGCCCACCCCUGGAAACAUCAACCUGUUAUCCUUGAGAGUUCAAGACCUUCUUUUCUUUCUCCUGAAAGGCAGACCAGGGUUUCCACCUGCCAAGCCCACCAUCUGGAGCAAGAGGAAGAUCUUGAGUUCUGGGUCAGUCAGUCAUGACGGAAAAGGAAGUUCUAUCAGAGCCUGAUCCAGGUAGGGGAGCCGGAAGGAAUCUGGGCCAUACAUAAUUUGGACUGUUCAUGUUCCUUGCAUAAUCAAAUUUUUCUUCUAAUUAUGUUCCCUUGGCACCUUGACUGUGAACAGAAUUUCCUGAUGUGAUUGUAAAGCUGGAACAAGAGGAGGAGCCAUGGGUCCUGGGUCACCAGAGGUGCGAGGAUAGUCGAAUCGUCCAAGGUACCAACUCAGGGUUCCCAGGUGUAAUAAUAAAACUAGAAGUAAAAGAGGAGAGAUGUACCCCAGAUUUCCAUCCCUUUGAAGAAAGUGAGACUGUCUCCAGUUUCCCAUUGGGUAAGGAACAUUUUCGGAUAUAUUUUAGUCCACAAUUAGUAUAAUUGACAUCUCCUCCUUUCCAGGUAAUUUGUACAUUGCACACCAAUAUCUUUAAAACAAUCUUUACUACAUCCAAUUAUGUUUCUAAUUAGAACAGACCAUUGAAUCAAUUGCUGAUUGGUAAACUGGCAUUUAUAUACAGUUGGACCU
rnacentral:lncRNA from 11 species